rnacentral:rRNA from 1 species
UACGUAGGGGGCGAGCGUUGUCCGGAUUCAUUGGGCGUAAAGCGCACGCAGGCGGUUCGCCAAGUUUGGAGUGACAGUUGUCGGCUCAACCGACAAAGGACUUCAAAAACUGGUGAACUUGAGGACGAGAGAGGAACAUGGAACUCCAGGUGUAGUAGUGAAAUGCGUAGAUAUCUGGAAGAACACCAAUGGCGAAGGCAAUGUUCUGGCUCGUUUCUGACGCUCAGGUGCGAAAGCCAGGGGAGCGAACGGG